GGAUCAUUAGAGAGUAUAAAAACUCCCAACCCAUGUGAACAUACCUCUCGUUGCCUCGGCGGAGAGGGGACCUACCCGUUAACGGGCUACCCAGGUAGAGAUACCCGGGAGUGCCCGGGUGACCCCCCGCCGCCGCAGGCCCUCGAAACUCUGUUUUAUUUUGGAACUCUGAAUCUUAAAGCAAAUAAGUUAAAACUUUCAACAACGGAUCUCUUGGUUCUGGCAUCGAUGAAGAACGCAGCGAAAUGCGAUAAGUAAUGUGAAUUGCAGAAUUCAGUGAAUCAUCGAAUCUUUGAACGCACAUUGCGCCCAUUAGUAUUCUAGUGGGCAUGCCUGUUCGAGCGUCAUUAAGUCCAUUAAGCCCCUGUUGCUUAGCGUUGGGAGCCUGCUGCGCGCAAGCCUGCAGCUCCUCAAAAUGAGUGGCGGAGUCGGUAUACUCUAGGCGUAGUAACUUUCAACUCGCUUCUGCAGCUAUGCCGGCGCCCUGCCGUAAAACCCUUAAUUAAAUGGUUUGACCUCGGAUCAGGUAGGAAUACCCGCUGAACUUAAGCAUAUCAAUAAGCGGAGGAAAAGAAACCAACAGGGAUUGCCCUAGUAACGGCGAGUGAAGCGGCAACAGCUCAAAUUUGAAAUCUGGCUCUCGGGCCCGAGUUGUAAUUUGUAGAGGAUGUUUUUGGCGCGGUGCCUUCCGAGUUCCCUGGAACGGGACGCCUUAGAGGGUGAGAGCCCCGUACGGUUGGACGCUAAGCCUCUGUAAAACUCCUUCGACGAGUCGAGUAGUUUGGGAAUGCUGCUCUAAAUGGGAGGUAAAUUUCUUCUAAAGCUAAAUACCGGCCAGAGACCGAUAGCGCACAAGUAGAGUGAUCGAAAGAUGAAAAGCACUUUGAAAAGAGGGUUAAAUAGCACGUGAAAUUGUUGAAAGGGAAGCGUUUGCGACCAGACCUUUUCCUGGCGGAUCAUCCGGUGUUCUCACCGGUGCACUUCGCCUGGUUUAGGCCAGCAUCGGUUUCCGCGGGGGGAUAAAAGCUUGGGGAACGUAGCUCCCUCGGGAGUGUUAUAGCCCCUUGCAUAAUACCUUCGUGGGGACCGAGGACCGCGC
rnacentral:rRNA from 1 species